UGGGAUGCAAAAGGUGGCAAAAGUAACUCUUUGUUUGCCAAAACAGUUGAUGAUCGGUUUAUCAUCAAGGAAAUUAAGAGAGCGGAAUUUGACUCGUUCUUGAAGUUUGCUCCUAGUUAUUUUGCAUACAUGGAUCAGUGCCAUGCUAAGAGGAAUCAAACGUGCCUUGCAAAAAUUCUUGGCAUUUAUCAGGUCAAUGUAAGGCCAAGAGGUGGAAAAGAGACUAGGCACGAUCUCAUGGUGAUGGAGAACCUUUCAUUUGGUAGAAUUACUACUCGGCAGUAUGAUCUGAAAGGAGCUUUGCAUGCUCGAUUUAGUGCAGCUGGCAAUGGUGCAGGAGACGUUCUUUUAGACCAAAACUUUGUGAAUGACAUGAAUGUUUCUCCUUUAUAUGUCGGGACAAGAUCAAAGAGGGCUUUGCAACGGGCUGUAUGGAAUGACUGUACUUUCCUCAAGUCAAUCAAUGUGAUGGACUAUUCUCUACUUGUGGGAGUGGAUAGCCAACGCCAUGAACUUGUUUGUGGCAUCAUUGACUAUCUCAGACAAUAUACAUGGGACAAACAACUCGAGAAUUG
rnacentral:misc_RNA from 1 species